AUUGAACGCUGGCGGCAGGCUUAACACAUGCAAGUCGAGCGAGCGGCGGACGGGUGAGUAAUGUCUGGGAAACUGCCUGAUGGAGGGGGAUAACUACUGGAAACGGUAGCUAAUUCCGCAUACCAUCAGAUGUGCCCAGAUGGGAUGAGCUAGUAGGUGGGGUAAUGGCUAACCUAGGCGACGAUCCCUAGCUGGUCUGAGAGGAUGAGCAGCCACACUGAAACUGAGACACGGUCAAGACUCCUACGGGAGGCAGCAGUGGGGAAUAGUGCACAAUGGGCGAAAGCCUGAUGCAGCCAGGCAGCGUGUGUGAAGAAGGCCGUCGGAUUGUAAAGCACUGUCAGCGAGGAGGCGUUACUCGCAGAAGAAGCACCGGCUAACUCCGUGCCAGCAGCCGCGGUAAUUC
rnacentral:rRNA from 1 species